CAUCAGGUGCCUCCAGGCCCUUGCAGUUCCCACCAGAUCCUAUCAGACCCCACCAGCCCCCACCAGAUCCCACCAGGCCCUAUCAGCUCCCAUCAGAUCCCACCAGAUCCCAUCAGCUCCCAUCAGAUCCCACCAGGCCCAGUCAGAUCCCACCAGGGAUCCCAUCAGGUGUCACCAGCCCCUAUCAACUCCCAUCAGAUCCCACCAGAUCCCAUUAGGUGCCACCAGGCCCUAUCAGCUCCCAUCAGAUCCCACCAGAUCCCAUCAGUUCCCAUCAGAUCCCACCAGGCCCAGUCAGAUCCCACCAGGGAUCCCAUCAGGUGUCACCAGCCCCUAUCAGCUCCCAUCAGAUCCCACCAGAUCCCAUCAGAUCCCACCAGAUCCCACCAGGCCCUAUCAACUCCCAUUAGAUCCCACCAGGUGCCACCAGGCCCUAUCAGAUCCCACCCGAUCCCACCAGGCCCCAUCAGAUCCCACCAGGUUCCACCAGGUGCCAUCAGAUCCCACUAGAUCCCACCAG
ensembl:lncRNA